rnacentral:rRNA from 1 species
AUUGAACGCUGGCGGCAGGCCUAACACAUGCAAGUCGAGCGGAUGAAGGGAGCUUGCUCCUGGAUUCAGCGGCGGACGGGUGAGUAAUGCAUAGGAAUCUGCCUGGUAGUGGGGGAUGACGUCCGGAAACGGGAGCUAAUACAGCAUACGUCCUGAGGGAGAAAGUGAGGGAUCUUCGGACCUCACGCGAUCAGAUGAGCCUACGUCGGAUUAGCUAGUUGGUGGGGUAAAGGCCUACCAAGGCGACGAUCCGUAACUGGUCUGAGAGGAUGAUCAGUCACACUGGAACUGAGACACGGUCCAGACUCCUACGGGAGGCAGCAGUGGGGAAUAUUGGACAAUGGGCGAAAGCCUGACCCAGCCAUGCCGCGUGUGUGAAGAAGGUCUUCGGAUCGUAAAGCACUUUUAGUUGGGAGGAAGAGCAGUAAGUUAAUACCUUGCUGUUUUGACGUUACCAACAGAAUAAGCACCGGCUAACUUCGUG